rnacentral:rRNA from 1 species
AUUGAACGCUGGCGGCAUGCUUUACACAUGCAAGUCGAACGGCAGCGGGGAGGAGCUUGCUUCUCUGCCGGCGAGUGGCGAACGGGUGAGUAAUACAUCGGAACGUGUCGAGAAGAGGAGGAUAACCACCCGAAAGGGUGGCUAAUACCGCAUAAAUUCUGAGGAAGAAAGCUGGGGACCUAGGAAUAGGCCUAGCGCUUUUUGAGCGGCCGAUGUCGGAUUAGCUAGUUGGUGAGGUAAAGGCUCACCAAGGCGAAGAUCUGUAGCGGGUCUGAGAGGAUGAUCCGCCACACUGGGACUGAGACACGGCCCAGACUCCUACGGGAGGCAGCAGUGGGGAAUUUUGGACAAAGGGGGCAACCCUGAUCCAGCCAUGCCGCGUGUAUGAAGAAGGCCUUAGGGUUGUAAAGUACUUUUGUUAGGGAAGAAAAGUCAGCUGUGAAUAAUGGCUGAUACUGACGGUACCUAAAGAAUAAGCACCGGCUAACUACGUG